UAACUAAUAACUUCCUUGAGAGCUGGUAAAAUAAGACUUGUUUGCUAUAUGGAGAAAGAAUCGACGAAGUAAUAUCAUAAUGUAUUAAGGAAUUAAAAACUACACAGUAUGAUUGCACAGUUCUUAAUUUGUGUGUUUUUUCCCUCUUCUAUAUUUGCCUUUUUUAAAUGAGGAAUGCAACUUAAAUGGACGUUGUUUUGGAUGUUUUUCUUCUCAGCUUCAUUAAAUCAAAUUCUUACACUUGCUCAUUUUGUGAAACUUUCCAUCCAUACCCAUAACUUAUUAAUUUUUUUCACACUGUGAUCAGACUGUUCAGUUUUCUGCAUGGUUUUUGUGUUGGUAGCUGAACUUCAUAAUACAUUGUUUAUAUAUUGUAAUGUCAUAGAGUUCCUGUUGACAGAAGAAUAUUAAUAUUUUGAUUCUCACUUGUCUCUGAAUACCUUGUAUUUACUGAAUGAAUGACUAUAUUUUUGAAAAGAGGCCUUCAGUUAUAUUUUAAUCUGGUUUCCUUCAUAUAAACUAAAUCUUCAUUUGCUAAUUUUUAGAUUUGUGCUGAAAAGUCUUGAUUUCAUUUUAUGUCUUUUAUUUAGCUCAAAUUUUUCUUCUGCUCCAGUGUUUCACAACACUUAACGUGAAAUGUUGCCAUACCUCACUUAAUGUUGUUUUAUGAGCACACUCCUAAAGUGACACCUAUUUAGAUGGUAUGUUAGUUUUACCUGCAAGAUACUGUUUUUAUAUAAAAUGUAAUGUUAACAUAGUUAACAUAGUUCUUGCAAUGCAAUGUCAGGUAACCCAGAAGAUUAGCCAAGACAGAACAAACUGUACUGCUUUUUGAAUUCCUGUCUCUCUGGUCUGUUGUAAAGGUUACUAAUCUCCAGAGAAAGAUAAUGGGUCACAUGUUUAGUGUAAUAGCUUUUUGGGUUUUCUGCUUUAUCUGCUAAUUUUAAAAUCUUUCAAAGUAAGCUCAUAUAAACAGAUUUUAAUGUGAAAUUUAUUGGAAGGGAAACCAAUAUGUAUUUACUCAUUUCCUGUCAUAUGCUCAGUACAACAGUAGCUGUUUAUUUAUAUUCGUGUGCUUCCCUAAGAAAGCAAGUUAAACCUGGAGUUAUUCGAAUCAUUAGCUGGAUACAUAAGAUACUUUGAUAUGGAAUAGAGUGCAAAUUUCUUGUGUUUCUUCACCUCUAAUUUUCCUCUUUCAUGUUUUUACAGAAUGUAAAAUUCCAUGUGUGUGUGUGGCACUAAAGCACCACAAGUCACACAGGGCAGUAGCUGUCUUUCUGUAAAUGAUGUCUCUUGACAUGGAAUAAGGGUGGGUUACAAAACACUCUUCAGAGUUACUUUAGUACCAAACUCAUUUGUGUGUUGGGGCAUUAAAAAGAACUCUUGUUAAAAAGAUAGAUUUAUAACACUGGCACUGCUGCUUCUGUUCUAUGUGAAAACUUCCUGCUAAUGUUUUAUAAAAUAUGUUUUGAAGUCUCUUGUGAUUUUAGCUUUGUAUAGCACCUCACAAGAUUUAUGGAUAAAGAAAACGCUAAUAUUCCAGUAGCCAAUAUUGGCCUUUUGUAUAUCAGUUCUGUUGUUUCUAUUCUAGUGAAAAUCAAGUAUAGAACUUGCAACUCCUGGUAGACUGAAAAAAAAUUGCAUUUGCAGACAGGAUUACAGCUCCAAAACAAGGUGUUAAACUAUGAGGUGACCAUUUCUUUAAUCUCUACUCUCUCUGCAUUAUAUUGCAGAAAGAAACAAUUUAUAGCAAUUUUACUUCAGAUUGGAGAAGCUUCUGCACGAAGACAAAUUAAUAAAUAGAUAAGUCUCUUUAGUUUCCAUCCUUAUCUCUUAAUACUUCAGGAGUUUUGGAAGUUCACUUAAAAUUUCAGGGGCAGAACUAUGCAGUACUGCACGUAAUAAAAACAUUUAUGAAAGUUACUGAAUCAAAGGCAGCUGAGUGAAGGUGCACAGCAAUAAUAGCACUGUACAGAUAGUAAUUGAGAUAUUGUCUUGAACAAAAACAGUGAUGAAAAUUAUGUGCUUUGACUGAGAACAAAGGUACAAGAAGGUUUUUAUCAGUGGUUAUGCUGGUAUGCCCUGCUGUUCCACACACUAUGACUUGGAACAGUAGAGGGAGAUCCAGGAUGACUUGUUACAUCAUACCUUGAGUUUUUUGAUUUUGCUUGAGGUGUUUUCAGACAGCUGAAUUACCGUGGAAAAGGGUACAGGCCAAAUCAGUGUUUCUGGCAUUUAAUUAGUAUACUUCAUGCACAUUUUGUUCGAUUGUGAUUAUUUCCUUUAACUUUCUGGAGCACAGUAGGAUAGAAAUUUUGAUCUACAAUUUUUUGAAGUAUAAUUAGUCAAAUUAUUUUUAAUAAAUAGUCAAAGUGCAUUGCUGCCCUAAAGUCUGAGAGAGAAGCUACCCUUUUGAAAUAAGGAAAUUUGCAUCUAAAAGACACCUUUGGCUCAGUCAGCUCUGUUGAUAGUUACUCAGUGUUACCUGUUCCCCUGUUAAAGCUUAACCAGUUUGCUAAACUAACAUUCAUCUAAACCAUUGAAAUGUAAAGGCUUAUAUAUUAAAAAAUGAAUGCUAAUUCUCCUUAUUUACCAUAUCUUAAUUUUUUCCUAGGUAAAUGCCAAAAAGAUUUGAAAACUUUGUUUCUGUUUCCAGAAGAUUCACUGUAGUUCUCACUCACUUAAAAUUAUCUGAUUUUUUUUUUGUCUUGGUUUACUGCAAUGCCCUUGUAAAUUAACAACUUUACUACUUAGCUGGAAUAGCCAUGAAGGAGUGUUUGGCGUUCAUACAGUUCUGCAAAGAAUUUGGUAGGUGUGUUCCUUCUGUGGCCACAACAAGGAGCAGGUGUGGGCAGUGAACCAUCAGUGAUCUUUGUAAUGCUGUUCAUCAGUGUACAGAGACAGUUUGGCCCAAGUCUGAAGGUUAUGUUUCCUUAAGGGAGCUUUAGAUCUUAAAAAAUCUUAAACCUCUUGACUUAUAGAUUGAAGAGAAAAUCCUUUUCACUUACAGCUGAAGUGUGUUCUCGGGGUAUGUGCAAAAGGGAAACAUUAAAAUAUUCUUGAAAAUCCAUUGCCUUUUCAAGAACUGAAAUUCUAGAUUUGGAUAUAAAAGUCAGUACUGUCAUGUAGUUAGCAUCUGUCAAGUGUUUUGUUUAAAUUACAAUGCUCACAUCCAAAGCAUGUGUUUGAACUUUUCUUUUGAGACACUGGAUCUAUAAGUGUGUAAAGUCAGCUUUCAUCUUCCUGAGGUAUGAAAGUACUGAGGAGAUCAGCUAUUGAUUGGAUUGGAUUGCCAGCUCCUUUGAUCCUCACAGAAAUACACUAAUGAUACCACAUAAAGGAUGUAGCUGCACACUAGAGGAACAGAUAAAAUGUGCACAAUGUGGUUUGGGGUGGGGAGGGGAUAGAUAGAUCUGGUGCUAUAGGUUCAGUGCUGACAAGAAGUACUUGCUGCCAUUUAUGUUUGCAGGAAGGUUAAAUGUUUACUUUCCUGGAGGGGUCCUGUAAUAAAAAGUGAUGAAGUAAAUGAAGUCAUGAUUGAACUGUUGGUCUAAAGUGUCUUGUGGGCUCGUGUGCCACCUGGCUUCUCUGUAGCUCCUUGUGUAGCUUGUAGCUUUGAAGUAUAAAAGUACAUGACUUGAUCUAGUGAUGACUUGUGUGCUUCUUGGAGUGAGUGUCUGAUUUUUUCAGUUGGCAGACAGUGAACGUGCAUUGUUUAGUGAUGCUCACAAGUGAGAAGUAUCCCAUUUGUCAUAAAGGCAAGAGGAACUGCAGCUUCUGUUAAGGUCUAUUGCUAACAUAACCACUUGUGGUGGAGAGUGAAAGACAUUUUUCUGGCACUAGUAGAUUACUUACAUAGUAACAAAAUAAAGUAAAUUACUUUACAUGGUAGACUUAUGAAAUGCACCUUUUCAACACCCUGUCUCCCACAGUACAAAAGCAAAAGGACAGUCUUACCUAUGGCUGUUGUCCAAAACACUGACAAUAUCUCAAUUUUGGUUAUGAAUGUGCAGUCAGCAUCCAAGUUUUCAUUAUAAAACUUCAUCUUUUUUGAAUAAGGCUUUUGUAAAGAGAAAAUAAUAUUGUUGGCUUUGUAUUUUAAAUAUUUCUCAUAUAUUUAUCUUCUUGUCCUAAUAAGUCAAAUCUACCAGCAGUUAAUCUGAUGGAAGUCAGGCUAUUAUGAUGUUUCUUUGACCAGUUACUUUGCUUUCAUCUUAGGUCCUGUAUUGUUUUGUCCACCUCUGUUUAUCAGGUUUCAGUCCCAACAUAGAUUUUCAUUGGUUAUGAUACCUGUGGAAAAUUUUCUGCCAGCUAAAUAGUUUUUCUAAAAAAAGCCACAAUGAUGCUAUUCUAAUAUUGUGAGGUGUUUUAUAUGCUGAAAUAUAUGGAACAAUAUCUUUCUUGACAGACGGUAUAUCAGUUUAGUUGUUUAAAUAGUUCCCAAAAAUAAGGGUUUGGGAAAUGAAUGUUCUUCAACGAAACGUGCAUGGCACGUUUGUGUAUCUUUGACCUUUUACCUUUAUCUUUCUUUUCUACUCAAAAGGUCAGUGUUCUCUAGAACUUUUAACUUCUUUUGUUUGUAGCAGCCACUGGAUGCUCAUAUCUCCUUAAUUAUAUGUUUUUGUGUGUUGCAAAACUAAAAUCAAUAAAUAGCAUUUACUUAAGGGGCCAUCUCGAAAGGCACAAAGGCAGUGAGGAAAGAAUUAUCAAGGUAGUCACAAAAGCCCACUACCUUUACUCCAAUUUUCAAACACUAUGAAGACUCUCUGAGUGGCUGAAUCAAAAGUGUAUUAUAAGUGUUCAGAUUUUUGCAUCACUUGGUUCCAAAAAAUAGUAAUGGUAAAAUAAAAUGGCUGAUGCAACUGCUCAGUAGAUGUCUUUAUAUGAUCCAAGCUUGUAUUUAGAGAAGAAAUAUAUUUGUUUCACAUCCAGGGAAAUAUUGUCCUUCUAGAGCACAACUUUAGUAACCACAGGCCCUGAUCCUGCAGGCAAGUAGAUACACAUUAAAUAUUAGCAAUAGCAAUGCCAUUUGAUUGCUUGCCUUCUUUUUGUAUAUUAAUAUUUCAGUAAUAGUUAUGAAGAGCAACUUGCCUCUUCUUACUCAGUAGUUUGAUUUAACAUUUUUUUAUGGUGUCAGGCUGUAGAACUGCUUAGAACAUUGAUUUCUUGUUUAAAUUAUUUCCCUGCUGCUGCAGUAGUAUUUAGGAAGGUUUCUAUUGUGAUGCCUAAACCAUAGGUGUUCCAUAUGCUAAAAAUCAUCUUGUUACUGAAAUUGCUCCAAAUAAGGAAAAAAAUUGGGUACCUCAUGUUUUCUGGCUAUGUAUUGCUGAAUACAGGUUUUAUGUACUUGUAAACCACCUGUACCUGUCUUGAGUCCAAAUGGUGUUGUAGCCCUCUGGUAACAGCCAGUGAGAAAAACUAAAUACUGAAUGGAUUAGUAUUGUUGCUUUUAACUUCAUUAGUAAGUAUUAAUAGAAAUUAUUUUAUGGUCAAUAAUAGCCUAAGUACCUCAUUUAGAAAUAACUUUAUACUAAUUACAGAUACUGCUGUAGGCAAAUGAAGACUUGUGAUUUUCAUCAAUUUUGAUAUGAAGUAGCAGGAUUCUUGCUAUACCACAGGUCUGGCUGACAGCAGCCUCUGUGCACAGUAUUCCAUGUGCUAACAUGGUGUAACUUACGUGAACCAAACAACCAUCAUGGUGUAAAAUUGCAUGGGGUUAUACAGGACUACAGUCUUUGCCUGAAACCUUGUAUUGAAAUUCAGAUAAAAGGUAUUUGGUGAUUAUAACAAUCACCAAACAAGGGCUGACAGAAAUAAAACCUAUCCUAUCCAUUUCCCCAGUUGCCCAUUGUACAUGUAUGUUCUCCCCACAUCUGUGUUCCCUUGGCUUCUUGUUAGGUCCCACCAGCCUUGGCCAAUGGAAUAUACAUAAAUCUCCCUGAGCUGCCAUUCAUGUACAUGUUUAAUCUUCUUUUAAGCCCACAUGAUACAUCCCUCACUCUUAUGUAGAGUAAGUUUGCUUCAGCUACAAGUUGCUUAGCUUGAUUUCUUCUGUCAAUUUUUAUUUUCCAUUGUGUUCCUCUUAAUCUGUUUGGACCCAGCUUACUGAUUUAGUAGAUAGGUGCUGUCGCUGGUAUAUUGAUUCACUUGCAGUGCCAGCAGGAGUUGUUGGCAGAAGGAUCACCUUUCUUUUUCUUGCACAAGUUGCAAGCAAAAGUGUAGUGCAUUCAUCACUUCAUCCCAGAAUUGUUUCAGUUUCUAAGUGUAUGAAACUGUUACUACACUGUUUGCUGUUUUUUCUCUUUCAUUUACUGUGCAGCUGCAGUACCUGAUUUUUUAAAAAGAUCAUGUUGAUUUUUGGAGGGAGAUUUGAGCAGCUUGGUGGAAGUGCCAGGAGAGUUUCUGGUUUUCCCUUUGUUGGCAACUGUCUUCGUAGAUUUUCUACUCCACAGCCUCAUAGGUUGAGUUGUUGAAUAAAGAAAAGCCCAGCCAAACAACCCUACAGCUUGAAUUGAACUGAAACGAAAUACUCCAAAGAUGGCUAUGAAUAAUUCAGUUUCCUCUGUUGUAAGGUAGAUGAAUUAAUCCUUUAAUAUUUUAUACUACAUGUAGGAGGAGUAUAAAGUCAAGUAUGCGAAUAAGGGAGGGCAAAGUUCACAAUAGAAGCUAAAAUUUAGAAUUUAAGGAAUAUCCUACUUUAUGCAUUUAUUACUUACUGGGCCAGCUUUUCAGCAGGUAAAUGACAAUAUAAUGUUUUCUUGCAUAUUUUAGGGAUCAGUUCGUUAACCACUUACCACUUAGGAUGCUCAUCAUCAAGCUGCAGCAAAUCAAAGUAGGAAGUUAAAAGAAUUCACUGUUUAUUUCCUAAAACUUUAGUGUUUCUAGAGGGGAAGGUACACUUUUGCAUUCUAUUGCUAUAGUCCUUUUUCUUCUGAUGCAUUGCUGUCUUUUAUUUCUGUAAUUCUAUUUGUAGCUUGAAACUUUGUAGUGUGUAACAGACAAAGAAACUUUUAACUGGAGGUCGAAUUAGUGUGAUUUACUUUUAGUGUAGACUGCUUAAGUAAAGACUUGAUGAGACUAUUUGGAUGUAUCUUCUCAAAACAGAGAUUUAGACAUGUGGCUGCCAUGAAUAUUCAGCAAUGAUAGGAAGCUGAAGUUGUGUCACCCUCUUAAAUUACCUUGGCGUAAUGCUUAAUGAUUAUCAUGGUGAGUGAAUACUAUUAAUGAAUAUAAAAAUAUGGAAUAAAGUUGAUGAAUAUUUCUAGGGUAUUUUAGGGGUACUUUAAGGUCAUGUAUGUAGCAUCAGAACAUUUUAAAAGUAACCAUGGGAAGAGGAUUUUUAAAGCUAUUUUUAGUUUUGUUCUGUGUGCUGCAGAACACUAAUUGCCAGUCUGUUAAAUGACAGUUUGUUUUAAAAAACUUUAAAUUUAGAAUUCCUGUCUUUCUGUUUGGAUUGGAGGAAAUACCCUAAAAUACUGUUUAAAUUGGAGGAAAUACACUAUAUACAACUAUCAGUUGCAAUGUCUUGCAAAUGUAAAACUUGCUGAUGUAGUUACCGUUUUUUAAUAGAUCAUUGACCCAUCAAUCAGACUCUGACCAUUUCAGAGAUAAAGAGCUUGGCUUUCAUUGGCUUUUAGGAAAAGAACAGCUUUCCACAAAUUAGGAAAUGGUGUAAUAAUUAACAGGUAUAAUGGAUAUGUGCAUUCAGGUUUCAGUUGUAUCUUUGAGUUUUAGCUCCUGUUAUCCUUGGUAUAGUUAGUUAACCCACUGUCUGCCCAUAGAUAACUGUAGUAUAAAAUGGAUUAUUUUUGUGGAAGUAGAAUUUACUAAAAUGAUUGAUAGCUUUUUUGCUCACCUUUUAAAAUCUGUAGUGAAUUGUUCUUUCAGAUUUUCAUUUAUAACAAGGUGCAGAACUUCACUAACAAAACUCAUCGAGUAAUAAUUCUGUUCUAAAGCAGCAAAGGUUCUUUAAAUAGUUUUGUGUACAGAGAAUUUAUGUAAACUCUAAUUUUUUUUUUUUUCUGAAUUACAGACUUAAAUGAUUUUAGGUACUGGUCAUUCCUCAUACAGGAAGGAGUUUGACAUCUCUGACUCAAAAAGUCACUUAGAAAUUGGCAAAGUAGGUCAUUUAGUAGUGGACCUAUUGCACGAAUCAGUUGGCAGACAUCACUUACCAUUCCUAAGCUGGGUUUGCUCUCGAUUUUUUUCUGGUAUUCUCUACAUCUGCAGAAUUGCCUAUUGAACCAACUUCUAUUAACAACAAAAGUAAAAACUACUCCUAAAACAAGUAGCUGUAAUCACCAUUUUAAAGAACAGUUAUAGCUGUUUCUUCAUAUUUUAAAAUUAUAAUUAUACAGCAGAAAUUCUUAAAAAUGAAAGAUCUUUUGGUGUGCUGUGUAGGUGGGGUUAUUUUUAAUUAGCUAGAAAAGCUAGUAAUUUCUUGAGUAGUUUGCUGUUACAUAAAUGAAUUAAAGCAAAUGCUAAAUCACCUGCUCAAGCUUUACUGACCUCUUAGCGAUUAUUAAAUAAUUAUAAUUGAUCAUUAAUAGCCUGAAACAGUAGUUUCAUGCUAAAACAGCAUGUAAAAUACUGUAUUUCUAGCAAACUUUAAUUUUAAAUAGCUCUAGUGUUUUAAUCAUUUAGUUGAAACUGUAAUUUUCUGGGAGAUGAAAUGAUCUCCUAACCAUGCUGUGAAGAUUUUCUUACAUCUGUUUCAGAUGAGUCAAAAUCAAGUACUGAAUAGUGAAGUCACAUUUGACUGUUAAAUUAGCAAUUAUAAAUAAAGACAAAUAGGUCAAUAAUUUUAACUUCACUAUAAUGUGUUUCCGUGUGUCAGAAUCAGAAACUAGGUGUUGCUGUAAUUUUAUUUUUCUAUGCAGGUUUGACACAAAUAAAUGUUAAAUAUCUCUAAAAUAAAUUCCCCUUUUUAGAUUUUGUAUGUCUAAUUUUAUAGGGUUUAAAUAGUCAAGUAGUGUUUUUCCCAGUUAAACUAUUAAAUACUCCCUAAACUAUGAAUUUUAAGCAUUUUUAAAAUUGUAAAGGAAAAAGUAAUUUUUUAUUUUUUUUUUGCAUUUGCUAGUAUUUAUUAUUGUGCUUAUUGCAUAAGCCACGUUAUUUUAAGUUAAACUCACACAGCAGUCAAAAAUGUCCAAAAGAUCUCAGAUUCAUAUUUUUGUGGGAGCACCCAGUAUUCCGAGCCUGCUGGAGGGGUUAGAGCAGAGCAGUUCAGCCCCUGCUGGUGAGAAAUGGCGAGAACUGCACUGUUUGUGUGAUACACGUGGGUUUGUUUCUGCAAAGGUCCAGGCUGCUGCUGCCCCCUCGGUGCCCCAGGCAGAGAGCUCCACACUCACAGGAGUCCCUGCAAGUGGGGACAGCGCUCAGCAGGGCAGGUUCAUGCCAAAAGAAGGAAAGGAUUUGACAUCUCCUGCCCCUAUGGCAGUAACUUGUACCAGCACAUUUAAAAAGAGCACAAGUUUAACUUGCUCUGAUUGUCAAGUAUCCAAAGAUAGAUGCACACCUGCAGGUGUAAGUCAGGCUGCAGGGGAGCACCUGCCCCAGAGCUGUGCAGAAUCACCUGGGCAAGGGAAGCCAUCACGUGCCUGCUGCCCAGACCUCACUGAGAGAAAAGCCAGUCCUUUGGAAGUUAACUGCUCUGAUGUUCCUGCUUUGGUUGCCAGUACUGAGCAGGUCAGCAUCCAUCUACAGUCCUUGGGACUUCAGGCAGGUCACAGAAGUGAGCAUCAUGAACGUCCAAGUCAAUAUAUAGAUAUGUGUUUCCAAGGAAGUCUGGAGUCCAAACCAAAAGAACAGAAUGACUGUGCAGACUCUGCAGUGUCAGCAGACACUGAAUUUCGUAGUGUAGUGACUUUGAGUCAGGUGGCUGUUUUUGCACAGAAUGAAAUGCAGGAAAGAAUUGUAAAACUGUCAGAAAUAGAAGCAGGUAAAAAAGCUGAACGACAGUAUAAUCACUUCCAAUGUGAUUCUGGUUUUGGAACAUGUACUACUAAUGUGACCGAAAAUGAAUAUAAGGAGGAGGAUGCAAGUUCUCUUGAACUUUUCAGUUCCGAGGAUGAUGGGGAAAAUGUUUGGAUUAAAGCUACAAAACAGGAAGAAAGUGCUCAGGAAAAUGCAGAAAAGUUUCAAGAACUUAAUGUUCCUGCUGAGCAAUUUGUAAAUGAAAUCCAUAUUGAGCCAUUGAGUUCUGGAAUACUGUGCUCUCAAGGGAACUGUUCUCAAAAGAACUCCUCUAAAAGACCCCACAAGUAUGAAGAUUCCUUUCAUCUUUUUCACUCCACAUUUAAAAGACAGGUGAAAUCCAAGAGAGCUAAACUGAAUUCUUCUCCACCUGGUUCUGGGAUGAGAGUGGAUCCAGACAGGAUGACAGAGUUCAAGAAACUCCAGAAGAAACUAUCACUACUUAAGAAUUGCUGCAUCAAAAAUCAAAAGUACAAUAUUUUGGUCACAGUUGUACAUCCUUGUCAUAUCAAAGAAAUACAGAUGAAGACUAAACCAAAAUCUUCGUGUAAGGUUCCUGUAGCAACAGUUGUUGUUACUGACCAGUCAGAAACUGAGAAAAAGGUGGUGCUGUGGCGUGGUGCUGCAUUUUGGUCCCUCACUGUGUUUCCUGGGGAUAUCAUACUGCUUACAGAUGUAAUAAUGUAUGAGAAUCAUUGGUGCGGAGAGGUCAUGCUUCAGUCUACAUUUACCAGUCAGUUACUGAAUCUGGGGAACUGCUCAGCUCUCAAUCCAGAAGAAUUUUAUCCUCUAGUGGAUGGUGGUGUUCUCCUUGGCUUAUUGGCAUACAUCUCAUCAGAAUUUCCACACUUCAGAGACAUUCCACAACGACAAGUUCAGAGACUGGAUGAUGUUCAGUAUGUGCAGCUAGAUCAGCUCCAGCCAAAUACUUUGGUGCACUCAGUCCUGAAAAUUAUCAGUAUUUCUGUGUUAACAGAGUCUGUGUACAGCUACAGAGGUGGCAGCCAAAGAAAAGUUAUUCUAACAGUAGAACAGAACAGAGAUCAGCCCUAUAGGAUGGUUCUGUGGGGAGCAGGGGCUGCCUGGUGCCCCCAGCUUCAGAGGAAAAAAGACCACAUAUGGGACUUCAAAUACCUUCUGGUCCAACAUAGUUCUGUCUCAGGUGACUUGGAACUGCACACAACUCCCUGGUCAUCCUAUGAGUGCUUGUUUGAUGAUGACAAAAGGGCAGUUGAGUUUAAGGAAAAGUUUCAGAAAAGUCAAACAUCCCUCAUGGAGUUGACAAAGCUCUCGGCACACCUGGAAGAAAAAUGCUCAGGAGUGAUUCAAGUGAAAGCCCAUAUCUUGGAACUGCAAUUUACUAUUUCCACUGGUCAGUACAAGCAACUCAUCUUCUCUGCUGACACUUCACUGGAAUGUGUUUUGGCUUCUCUGCCUAUGAUUACAUAUACAGGUUGUGCCAAAUGUGGUUUGGAGCUACAGGCAGAUGAGAACAUGAUCUACAAGCAGUGUAUUAGAUGUUUGCCAUACAGCAAAGUAAAAACAUUCUACAGGAAUGAUGUUCACCCAGUACAGUGUCAGAUAAAGGGAAGAUGGAGUAGAAGCUUGAGGACCAAAGGAAAACUCCUUGAGAAUCUCAUUCCAGCCUAAAUCUGAAAUCAUUUGAAUGCAGAAGCAUGUUUUUAAACUGAUUUAGUAGUUACAGCUGUGCAGAAAUAAUACUGACAAAUGUUUUCAAUAACCUUUCUUGGAGAGCAGAGAUAGUGAGUUAUCACCAGAUGGCACUGCGAGACACAGAUAUUCACACUUAGGGAAGUUAAAUUAAGUGGAUCCAGUUGAUACCUGCUUUGAUGACAGUAGAAGAUGAAGGAUAUGAAAUUUAUGUUCAUGUGGUGUCUGAGUUACUGGAAAAAAUCUUCCUCAAUAUUCC